CCUACGGGAGGCAGCAGUGGGGAAUCUUGGGCAAUGGAGGCAACUCUGACCCAGCAAUGCCGCGUGAGUGAUGAAGGUAAUCUUAUCGUAAAGCUCUUUUCUUUGGAACGAAUAAAUGACGGUAUCAAAGGAAUACACUCUGGCUAACUCCUUGCCCGCAGCCGCGGGUAUAUGCGUGGGGCAAGCGUCGUUCGGAAUGACUUGGCGGAAAGGGUGUGGAGGUGUUUUGAUAAGUUAGAUGUGUAAUAGCCAGGGCUUAAACCAGGUGCUGCAUCUAAAACUGUUAGACUUGAGUACUGGAGAGGAGAGUGGAAUUCCAAGUGUAGCGGUGGAAUGCGUAGAUAUUAGGAGGAACACCAGUGGCGAAGGCGACUAUCUGGACAGCAACUGACACUGAGGCACGAAAGCGUGGGGAGCAAACAGGAUUAGAUACCCCGGUAGUC
rnacentral:rRNA from 1 species